rnacentral:lncRNA from 1 species
UUUCGAGUUUGCAUUCCUCUAAACUCCUCACUUUUAUUUGCAUCGGGUUUUUAAUUUGCUUGAUUAUUUGGAUUUUUAUUUUAAACCUAAUUCAUCCCCCCUCUUAGGUUGCUAUUUUGAUCCUCAAAUAUGUCCCUCCAAAAUCCUCAACAAUAAGAAUUGUACAGAAAUAUCCUCUAAAAAAAUUUCAACGGUCAUCUUUUUCUUUUAUAAGUGAAAUAUUAUUUUUGCCAUCAGAAUAUAAGAGGGGUAAAAAGAUCAAUUUAUCUCAUUUAUUAACCAAGGUUAAGUAUUUUACAUAUGCUUAACUAUAUUUUUCUACAGAUUCUAAUAUAAGGUUAUACUUAAAAAUGUUAAAACUUUUGUACGGAUAAAUACGAAAAGUUAAACUUUGUAGGGAUAUAUCUACUAUUCUAUAUGUUUAUAUGGAGCUGUAUAAAAUUAUCUCAAAAUAAAAAGAAAAAAG